rnacentral:rRNA from 1 species
CUACGGGACGCUCCAGUGAGGAAUUUUCCACAAUGGGCGAAAGCCUGAUGGAGCAAUCCCGCGUGGAGGACGACACCUUUCGGGGCGUAAACUCCUUUUCUGAGGGAAGAAGUUCUGACGGUACCUCAGGAAUAAGUACCGGCUAAUUACGCUGCCAGCAGCCGCGGUAAUACGUAAGGUGCGAGCGUUAUCCGGAAUCACUGGGCGUAAAGCGAUCGAAGGCGGACCAGUUAGUCUGAUGUUAAAUCCCUACCGCUCAACGGAGGAAUUGUAUCGGAAACUACUGGACUAGAGGUAUGCAGAGGGAGCUGGAAUUUCCAUUGUAGGGGUAAAAUCCGUAGAUAAUGGAAGGAACACCAAAAGCGAAGGCAGGCUCCUGGGCAUAUCCUGACGCUGCGCGAUCGAAAGCGUGGGGAGCAAAAGGGAUUAGAUACCCCCGUAGUC